GAAAUGCGAUAAGUAGUGUGAAUUGCAGAAUUCAGUGAAUCAUCGAAUCUUUGAACGCACAUUGCGCCCUUUGGUAUUCCUUAGGGCAUGCCUGUUCGAGCGUCAUCUAAACCUUCAAGCCCUGCUUGGUGUUGGGUGCCUGUCCCGCCUCCGCGCGCGGACUCACCUCAUAUCCAUUGGCGGCCCCCGCGUCGGCCACGAGCGCAGCAGAAACGCGAACUCGUGAGCCCGUCCGGGCGGCUCCCAGAAGCUACACCCACCCAGUUUGACCUCGGAUCAGGUAGGGAUACCCGCUGAACUUAAGC
rnacentral:misc_RNA from 1 species